rnacentral:rRNA from 1 species
UACGUAGGGGGGCAAGCGUUGUCCGGAUUUAUUGGGCGUAAAGAGCUCGUAGGCGGCUUGUUGCGUCGACUGUGAAAACCCGCGGCUUAACUGCGGGCUUGCAGUUGAUACGGGCAGGCUAGAGUUCGGUAGGGGAGACUGGAAUUCCUGGUGUAGCGGUGAAAUGCGCAGAUAUCAGGAGGAACACCGGUGGCGAAGGCGGGUCUCUGGGCCGAUACUGACGCUGAGGAGCGAAAGCGUGGGGAGCGAACAGG